UUAGGAAUAUUCGACAAUGGAGGAAACUCUGAUCGAGCAAUGCCGCGUGUGUGAUGAAGGUCCUAUGGAUUGUAAAACACUUUUAUUAGGGAAGAACGACUAGUAUAGGAAAUGAUACUAGAGUGACGGUACCUUUUGAAUAAGCCCCGGCUAACUACGUGCCAGCAGCCGCGGUAAUACGUAGGGGGCAAGCGUUAUCCGGAUUUAUUGGGUGUAAAGCGUGUGUAGGCGGUUUCUUAAGUCUAAGGUUUAAUCCCGGAGCUCAACUCCGGCCCGCCUUAGAAACUGGGUCACUUGAGUAUGGUAGAGGCAAAUGGAAUUUCUAGUGUAGCGGUAAAAUGCGUAGAUAUUAGAAGGAACACCAGUGGCGAAGGCGAUUUGCUGGGCCAUUACUGACGCUGAGACACGAAAGCGUGGGGAGCAAAUAGG
rnacentral:rRNA from 1 species